rnacentral:rRNA from 1 species
GAUAAGAUUUCCCACCGUAAGGGUAAGAUCCCAGGAAGACUACCUGGUUGAUAGGUCAAAGGUGGAAGUACAGUAAUGUAUGUAGCUUAUGGAUACUAAUAGAUCGAGGACUUGACCAA